CCUUCGGGAACCGUGAGACAGGUGCUGCAUGGCUGUCGUCAGCUCGUGUUGUGAAAUGUUGGUAAGUCCCGCAACGAGCGCAACCCUUAUCCUUUGUUGCCAGCGGUCCGGCCGGGAACUCAAAGGAGACUGCCAGUGAUAAACUGGAGGAAGGUGGGGAUGACGUCAAGUCAUCAUGGCCCUUACGACCAGGGCUACACACGUGCUACAAUGGCGCAUACAAAGAGAAGCGACCUCGCGAGAGCAAGCGGACCUCAUAAAGUGCGUCGUAGUCCGGAUUGGAGUCUGCAACUCGACUCCAUGAAGUCGGAAUCGCUAGUAAUCGUGGAUCAGAAUGCCACGGUGAAUACGUUCCCGGGCCUU
rnacentral:rRNA from 1 species